UACGGGGGGAGCAAGCGUUGUUCGGAUUUACUGGGCGUAAAGGGCGCGUAGGCGGCCACCGCAAGUCGACUGUGAAAUCUCCGGGCUUAACCCGGAAAGGUCAGCCGAUACUGCGGGGCUAGAGUGCAGAAGGGGCAACUGGAAUUCUCGGUGUAGCGGUGAAAUGCGUAGAUAUCGGGAGGAACACCAGUGGCGAAGGCGAUCUUCUGGACGGAUACUGACGCUGAGGCGCGAAAGCUAGGGGAGCAAACGGG
rnacentral:rRNA from 1 species